AUUUAUUUAAACUAAUAUAUAUUGUAUAUUUAGAAAAUAAUGGAUUAAAAUCAUGUGGGGGAAGAGUUCCAAGCCUCCUGGAGAAGGUAAGGAGAGGCGAGAUGUAGCCAUGACAACGCAAGCUGAGAUGAUUUUGAAGAAAAAGCGGGAAAUUGAGGCUAAAAUGGCGUCCGAUGAAAAGAAGGAAAAACUGGCGGGACAACCUAGAAAGCCUAUUUCUAUGAGUAUCAGCAAACGAUGGGGACUGAAGGGAAAGAAAUCAGAUGCAGGAGGUGGAGAGAAUGCGUCCAAUCAGUCAACUCCAGGAAACUCUUGGCGAAAGUACGGUGAUUCGAGUAGUCGGGACGGGAUAGGGUUGCCGGAGAACAACUCAAAGAGGUCGGAUCAAAUACCUACUUCUCAAGGUUAUGAUUCAACUGCCAGAUCCCGCCAAGAAUCACCUGCUUCUGGCUCCUACAACUUACUGGGAGAACCUCAGGUUCUCAACAGCUUACAACAACUCCAGCAGGGAUACCAACAGCAACAGAUACAACAACAGCAGCAGCAGCAGCAACAUCAACAGAUGCAGCAGCAGCAGAUUCAAAUUCAAGGACUGGGCCAACUUCAGAGCCUGCAUCAACAUCCCUUGCAACAGGGGCAACCUCCGGGUAUACAACAAAUUCCUCCGCAUGCUUUGCAGCAGGGUCCUCCCCCUGGUCUUCCACAGGGACCCCCUCUUGGAUUCAUGGGUCCAGGAUUAAGUUUACACCAACAUGGACCUCCCUUACCUGGAAUCCAUGCAGUUCCAGCUCCUGGACUACAAGGACCUCCACUAGGUCUCCCCCAAGGGUUCAAUCCUCUGGGAUAUGAAGGACUUCAACCUCAUCCUGUAUUUCCUGGAGGCCAGAAUCCUCAGCCACAAGGUCCUCCUUUGAACCAGCCUCCUCCUUUCCUUCCUCAACACCAUCCUCCGCAACAUCAACAACAAUAUGAUCUUUCACAACCACCUCCUAGUAUUCAGCCAUCACAGCCCCACACCUCACAGCAGAUACAGUUUAAUAUACAUGGACCACCACCGUCCCCACAGGGUUUACUUCCUUCAGUUUCUCUCCCUAUGCAGAUACACCCGGAGCAUCAACCCGUCCUACCUAUGCACACUUCUGCUCCUGUAACUCAUUCUUCUCACCUACCAAUGAUGGGAGGACCCCUUCUUCAUCUAGGAAUGCCUCCUCAAUCCCUCCCUCAGCCUCCUCCCGUCCAUCCUCCCCCUCAUAUAAUGACAAGUAUGGCGCCAGGGUUACCCCCUGUACAGUUCAAUGUACAGCAGCAAGGAUACGGGACAAUAUCAAACUCGGACUCAAACCUGAGCCAACCUCAAGCCAUGGUUUCAUUCCCUCCGACCCAGACCGUUCUUACAUCAUCCUUGCAGCCUCAGCAUAUGCUCAACCAGCCUCCGCUUAGUAUACCCUUGAGCAUACCUCCGCCCCAGCUGCCUCUUGGACCCGUCGGUCUAUCUGUUCCUUCUCAUCCUCCGCCUGUCAUAUCCCAUCCUCCACCCACCACCUCGACUUCCUUACCGUCACAUCAUAACAUGUCAAUCCCUCCGCCUUCUACCACACAUUCAAUGAUGCCUUUUAGCACUCAACCUCCGCCAACUGUGAAUACAUCAUAUCCACCUCCUAUGAAUCAAAAUGAUAAGAAUGCUCCGCAAUGGUGGGGGGACACACUCUCCAAAGUUAAGAAUAUCGCGCAGAACUUCGGCGACGGAGAUGCUAGUCAUUCCGAGCGACAAGAGGGUAAUGAAUCCAGUAGUUCUAACUGGAACAGAAAUACAUCCAGUCUGAGAAGGGAUCGACGGAGAUCCAAUUCCAAAGAUAGAAAGUAUGGCCGAGGCCGGGAUCGAGGCCGAGACCGGUCCCGUGACAGGCACAGGUCCCGCAGCAGAAAUUCCCGAGACGGAGAAAGAUCUAGAAACAGAGAUCGAUCUCGGGAUCGUCACAUCUCGUCCCAAUCCUCGAACCGGUCAACCCUGAUCAAGGAGGAGGAUAUGAAACAUGAACCUGAAACCUACGGAUAUAAAUCUGAAAACUAUGACAAGGUUUCCACCAGUAUCAAACAGGAGGUUAAGGUAGAGCCUAGAGAUAUAGAUAUGAGGAAAAGUAGAAGAGAAUCUGAAUCCUACUCACCAACACGUCCAGACUAUAAACCUACCAUCAAACAACAAGUUUGUAGCGCAGAUGGUCCCCUGCCUAGUGUGGUGGAGGAGCUGGCGAGCAUGGUGGCAGUGUCCGGGGAGGAUCUAGAGGAUAUUGCCAGGGAUAGGAACAAAUCUACACCAGAGCUUAAGUUUUUGUUUGAACGAACAGGUCACCUCUACCGUAAAUACCGGGCUAGGGUUGCAGAGUUAAAGAAGAGUUUCGACGAAACCAAAACUGAAGUGAAAGAUGAACCAGGGAGCUCAACUAAAGCCUCAGCUCCAGCUGCAGAACCUGUUCGGAAGCGCAAAAGUAGAUGGGGAGACCAGACACCUACUCCUUCUCCUCAACUAAACACUCUACCCCCACCUGGAGUACUUACCUCACUUCCCUCCAUAGGUGCCCCUGGCCUCGUGAUCCCUACCCAGCUAGGAGGCCCUGUAGUUAAGGUUGAAGCCCCUCCUGGACCUAAACUCUUGGAUAUCCGGCAGGGGAACCCUGCCCUAGCACAGUACGCUGUCAAGGUCUUUGGUUCAACUAAUCUCACAGAUGCACAAUGGAAGCAGUGCGAGGAUCAGCUGAAGAUGUCCGUUGUGUACGGCCAGCUUGCUGCUAAACAGGCCGCUGCGCGGAUUAUGGCUGCCUCGGGGAAACGAAAACAUGAGUACGACAGUGAUGAAGAUACAGAAGGAGGUACGUGGGAGCAUAAGGCAAGAAUCGCUGAGAUGGCAAAGACCGCUGCUGAAGCUGCAAAACAAACAGCUGCUCUCGAGGUGGAGGGGAAGCAUCACAUUGGAGAUUUCCUUCCCCCGGAAGAGCUUUCAAAAUUCAUGAAUAAAAUGAAGGCGAUGAGAAGUGGGACAGCCUGGGACAACUCUGAGUAUCAGGAGAAUAAACUGAGUCAGGACAAUGUCGGGUUCAAGAUGCUCCAGAGGAUGGGUUGGUCAGAAGGUGCAGGUCUAGGAGCAGGGGGGAUGGGGAUUACCGCCCCCAUUGGAAAGUCAGGAGGAGGGUUGGAGAGAGCAGGACUGGGAAUGGAUAUGCCCGGAGAGAUAAACGAGGAUGAUGAUGAGUUUGAUACGUAUAGAAAACGAAUGAUGAUGGCCUACAGGUUCCGUCCCAACCCCUUGAACAAUCCUCGGCGGUCCUACUACUGACCGGGUCUAGUCAGGUACGCGAGCAAAAUAAGUGACGCAGGAAUGUACAGUGCGUACGUGAACUAGGAGUAGUUACUCAAAGGCAAGCAUGUACAUUGUACAUGUUCAAACGGAUUACUUAGAGGUACAUGUGUACAUAGAAUUCAAGGCUUUUGUUCGGUUACUGCAAAUAAAGGAUUAUAUAGUUUGUUCUGAUAUAAAACAUAUUGGUAAAUGUGAGGUACAUAAAAUGCAAGGUUGACGUAACGAAUGCAGAAGUAUGUAUAUUAUAUAUAUAAUAAAAGUAUAUAAAAUUCAUGUUUUCCCCUUUCCUUUGUUCGAAUGAAAAUGAAAGAAUUUUUUUGCCUUUGACUUUUUAUGUUCACUUUUCAGACUUGUUAAAUGCUGUUGUAUUUUAUUUGAAAUAAAAAAUUCAAUUUAAACUUGAGCCACGGAUGCCUUUACAUCAAUAUAUUUUCCACAAUGUUAAAGCAUUUCUACGCGUAUCAACGGUUAAGUUUUUGUUGCUAAAAUAAAAGUAAAUAUAAUUCCCCAGCUCGCCUGUUAAUCUAUACUUACUGUUAAUAAAAAAUGUUUAAAUACUUAA
rnacentral:misc_RNA from 1 species